AGAUUACAAUGAUGGAGGAGGGGGAGCAGGGGGGUUAUGAGUAAUUAGAUUACAAUGAUGGAGGAGGGGGAGCAGGCGGUUAUGGGUAAUUAGAUUACAAUGAUGGAGGAGGGGAGCAGGGGUUAUGGGUAAUUAGAUUCCAAAUGAUGAGAGGGGGUUAUGGGUAAUUAGAUUCCAAUGAUGAGGGGAGCAGGAGGUUUAUGAGUAAUGAUUCCAAUGAUGGAGGAGGGGAGCGGGUAAUUAGAUUCCAAUGAUGGAGGAGGGGGAGCAGGAGGUUAUGGGUAAUUAGAUUCCAAUGAUGGAGGAGGGGGAGCAAGGGGUUAUGGGUAAUUAGAUUCCAAUGAUGGAGGAGGAGGAGCAGGAGGUUGGGGUUAUGGGUAAUUAGAUUCCAAUGAUGGAGGAGGGGGAGCAGGGGGGUUAUGGGUAAUUAGAUUCCAAUGAUGGAGGAGGGGGAGCAGGGGGUUAUGGGUAAUUAGAUUCCAAUGAUGGAGGAGGAGGAGCAGGGGGUUAUGGGUAAUUAGAUUUCAAUGAUGGAGGAGGAGGAGCAGGGGGUUAUGGGUAAUUAGAUUCUAAUGAUGGAGGAGGGGGAGCAGGGGGUUAUGGGUAAUUAGAUUCCAAUGAUGGAGGAGGGGGAGCAGGGGGUUAUGGGUAAUUAGAUUCCAAUGAUGGAGGAGGGGCAGCAGGGGAGUUAUGGGUAAUUAGAUUCCAAUGAUGGAGGAGGAGGAGCAGGGGGGUUAUGGGUAAUUAGAUUCCAAUGAUGGAGGAAGGGGAGCAGGAGGUUAUGGGUAAUUAGAUUCCAAUGAUGGAGGAGGGGGAGCAAGGGGUUAUGGGUAAUUAGAUUCCAAUGAUGGAGGAGGAGGAGCAGGAGGUUGGGGUUAUGGGUAAUUAGAUUCCAAUGAUGGAGGAGGAGGAGCAGGGGGGUUAUGGGUAAUUAGAUUCCAAUGAUGGAGGAAGGGGAGCAGGAGGUUAUGGGUAAUUAGAUUCCAAUGAUGGAGGAGGGGGAGCAAGGGGUUAUGGGUAAUUAGAUUCCAAUGAUGGAGGAGGAGGAGCAGGAGGUUGGGGUUAUGGGUAAUUAGAUUCCAAUGAUGGAGGAGGGGGAGCAGGGGGUUAUGGGUAAUUAGAUUGCAAUGAUGGAGGAGGGGGAGCAGAGGGUUAUGGGGGGUAAUUAGAUUCCAAUGAUGGAGGAGGAGGAGCAGAGGGUUAUGGGUAAUUAGAUUCCAAUGAUGGAGGAGGAGGAGCAGGGGGUUAUGGGUAAUUAGAUUCCAAUGAUGGAGGAGGAGGAGCAGGGGGUUAUGGGUAAUUAGAUUCCAAUGAUGGAGGAGGGGGAGCAGGGGGUUAUGGG
rnacentral:lncRNA from 1 species